GUGCACCAGAUACGAGCUUGACAGUCUGCUGUGUCCCAGAUGUGGCUGUUAGGCUUCAAACGGUGCGAGAAUAACAUCAGCCAUGAGAUUUAAGCCCUUCAGUGGAAGCAACACUGAAGAGUUAUAACUCAGAGGCACAGAU